GUUAUCUGUAUAAAAAGUAUAUAUUUAGCUGUAAUACUACAAAACUACACCAAGACUUUACUAUUUUGUGUUAAAAUAAGCUUAAAAAAUCAUAUUGCCCAGUAAUGCCCAGUAUUCCCCAUUUCUGGGAGUAUUGCCCAGCCCGGGAAAACCCGGGUUUUCCCACCCGGGAAUUCCCGGGCGAGUAAUACUUUGCCAACCCUG
rnacentral:lncRNA from 1 species